rnacentral:rRNA from 1 species
GAAGGAUCAAUAACUAGGAGUGAUGAGCUUUGCCUGCUAUCUCUUACCCAUGUCUUUUGAGUACCUUCGUUUCCUCGGCGGGUCCGCCCGCCGAUUGGACAAUUUAAACCAUUUGCAGUUGCAAUCAGCGUCUGAAAAAACUUAAUAGUUACAACUUUCAACAACGGAUCUCUUGGUUCUGGCAUCGAUGAAGAACGCAGCGAAAUGCGAUAAGUAGUGUGAAUUGCAGAAUUCAGUGAAUCAUCGAAUCUUUGAACGCACAUUGCGCCCCUUGGUAUUCCAUGGGGCAUGCCUGUUCGAGCGUCAUUUGUACCUUCAAGCUUUGCUUGGUGUUGGGUGUUUGUCUCGCCUCUGCGCGCAGACUCGCCUCAAAACAAUUGGCAGCCGGCGUAUUGAUUUCGGAGCGCAGUACAUCUCGCACUCUGCCUUCACCACGACGGCGUCCACAAGUACAUUUUACACUCUUGACCUCGGAUCAGGUAGGGAUACCCGCUGAACUUAAGCAUAUCAAUAAGCGGAGGAAUCCUUACGUGAACGUGCGCAUGCUGCUAUCCUUCCAUGUAUUGAGUCUUGUUUCUCGGCGGUCCCCAUGGAAAUUUACAUUGGUUCAUACUGAAAAAUAAUAUCACUUCCAGACUGGGUUGCUCUAAAACACAAAGCAUAUUAUGAGAUAAUUGAACAAUUUAACCAGCCGGUAUUCGGGAGCGUUAGCAUGUCUACCGUUGGGUGGGGGUUUCGCCACCCACCCC